rnacentral:miRNA from 1 species
GUACCUUCUGGUUCAGCUAGU